CUUGCCAGGGAACUACGAGCCGCAGCUUAAAACCCAAAGGACUUGGCGGUGCUUUAGACCCCCCUAGAGGAGCCUGUUCUAGAACCGAUAACCCCCGUUAAACCUCACCCUCUCUUGUCUUUCCCGCCUAUAUACCGCCGUCGUCAGCUUACCCUAUGAAGGCCCCACAGUAAGCAUAAUUGGUAGUACCUAAAACGUCAGGUCGAGGUGUAGCGUACGAGAGGGGAAGAAAUGGGCUACAUUCCCUGAAACAGUGAACAACGGAAGAUGCCUUGAAAUAGACAUCUAAAGGAGGAUUUAGCAGUAAGAGGAGAAAUAGAGAGUCCCUCUGAAACUGGCCCUGAAGCGCGCACACACCGCCCGUCACUCUCCCCGAAAAACAAACUAAAAGUAAAUAAAUAGACACAAGAAUAAAGGGGAGGCAAGUCGUAACAUGGUAAGUGUACCGGAAGGUGUACUUGGAAAAAU
rnacentral:rRNA from 1 species